rnacentral:lncRNA from 1 species
ACGCAACCAGCAGUGCGCAACCAGCCCCAAGCCGCGCAGCAAGCUCCAGCCGAGCACGCAACGCAACAAGCGUCACCAGCGCGCGCACCAGCAAUCCCCCAGCGCGCAGCAACAGCCGCAGCACGCAGAUCCAGCGUCACCAGUUCGCAGCAUCAGUCCCAUCCACGCGCAACUGAACCACCAGCCGUGUACCCGCAAGCUCCAGUCGAGCAGCAAUAGUCCGCAACCAGCCUACGACCUGCAUUCCAGCCGCGUGAAUCGAAAUCCGUGACAAGAUGGAGCAGAAUUUGGCCGCAUACUUCAAGAGUGUGGGAUUUAUCCCACCAUUCCCGCCAAGCCCAUAGACGUUAUGAGGAUCAAAGCUCACAAUUCAGGGAAGUUUUUGCCUUUAAUCUUUUAUCCUUACGCUUUAAUUUUUAUGUGAGCUUUGAU